UCGGUCCCUAUCUGCCGUGGGUGUAGGAAGUUUGAGAGGAUCUGCCUUUAGUACGAGAGGACCGAGGUGGACGUACCCCUGGUGGACCAGUUGUCGUGCCAACGGCACAGCUGGGUAGCUAAGUACGGAAGGGAUAACCGCUGAAUGCAUCUAAGCAGGAAACCCACCUCAAAACUAGACUUCCCCAUUAGAGCCGUGGAAGACCACC
rnacentral:rRNA from 13 species